UACGAAGGGGGCUAGCGUUGCUCGGAAUCACUGGGCGUAAAGGGCGCGUAGGCGGCCAUUCAAGUCAGGGGUGAAAGCCUGUGGCUCAACCACAGAAUUGCCUUUGAUACUGUUUGGCUAGAGACCGGAAGAGGUAAGUGGAACUGCGAGUGUAGAGGUGAAAUUCGUAGAUAUUCGGAAGAACACCAGUGGCGAAGGCAGUCUCCUGGGAGUUACCUGACGCUCAGGCGCGAAAGCCAGGGGAGCGAACGGG
rnacentral:rRNA from 1 species